rnacentral:rRNA from 1 species
UACGUAGGUGGCAAGCGUUUGUCCGGAUUUACUGGGCGUAAAGAGCGCGCAGGCGGUCGUUCAAGUCGAGUGUGAAAGCCCCCCGGCUCAACUGGGGAGGGUCACUCGAUACUGAUCGACUCGAAGGCAGAAGAGGGAAGCGGAAUUCCCGGUGUAGUGGUGAAAUGCGUAGAUAUCGGGAGGAACACCAGUGGCGAAGGCGGCUUCUUGGCUUGCUCUUGACGCUGAGGCGCGAAAGCUAGGGUAGCAAACGGGG